GAAGGCGUCCUGUGCUUGAGCGCUUCCAGCCGGGCUCUGGGCGGUUCCCCUCCUGGAGUGCUUGGGGUCUUCCUUCAGCUGCAGGAGGCCAAGUUGUGGCUUCGUUUCCCUUUCCCAGCGAGCCCUUGGGAUCCCCACUGUGGUGGUAUGUGUCCCCGUGAGCACAUCUCAAGGAGUUGCUGGGGGGUCUGGGAGAUAUCGUGGGCAGAGCAAGCUAGCCAUGCAAAGCGGGCCGUUGGGCUUUUCAGAAGAGACUCUUCAUGAGGCCAAAGGAUAAACUAGCUCAUCUGGCUUACAAGAAAAUGAAUGUUCUCCAGUUUCCCUUUUUAGAUCUUCUUCUAGGAUCAAAGUUCCCAAGAUUGGAAGGGCUCUCAAAUAAAAGCUGAUUAACUCUCUUCCCUAAAAUUUUCAGUGUGCAUGAGGAUUUCUUAGGAAGCUUGUUAUAAUGCAGAUUCCCAGCCCCUGCUCUCAAAGUUCAGGAUGGGGCCCUGGAAUCUAUAUUUCCCCCAUGGAUCACUCCUCCCUGCCCUUGACAUACACACACUCUCCAAGAGAUUCCUGGAGACCCAACCCACACUGUGAGAAAUAUACCCGGACAAUUCUCAAAUCAACUUCUAGAAGCUUUCCCUAUUCCGAAGUUGAAAUCUCCAUCACUGAAGUCCCACCUACCAGUAAUACCAGCCACAAAGAAGACAAAUGGAGCUCUCUUCCCCAUGAUAGAUCUUCAAAUAUGGGCGAUACAAGUGUCAUCCAUUUCCAGAGUUUUCUCUUCUCCAACCCAUUGACAAGUUACUUCAACUCUUCUUCAAAACAUAAUACACACACACAUUCAUUUAGGAUUAUUGAGAAUAAAAAUUUUUCUUACAAAUAAAGUUUAGGGUGGUACUGUUCAGAAAUUGUGUGAAAAGGCUAAAUAUUUUAGCUCAUGGUAAACUCCAUAGGAGUCAAUGGUAUUACUCAAGAAGAAGGAAAAAGAGCAGGAGGAAAAAGAAAGAGACAAGAACUAGAAAACAAUAAAAAUAAAAAAUCCCUACUUCUGGCUGCUGGUAUCUAAUUAAAUGGUGUGUGAUUACUUAGAUUCCUGCAAUAUACUCCUGUGUUUCCAUAGUCUUUGAUCUAAUAUUUCCCACUUCAUGGAAUGCCAGCUCCAUUCCUCCCCUAAAGCAACCAGCUAAUUUCAAAAUUAUCAUCUUUCAAGAUUCAGCUCAACCAUCACAUCCUCAAGCACCCCUAGAAUUAAUUCCUCUUUUCUUUGUGUACCCCCUGUUCCCAUAGAGUCUUACAUUUAAAUGUCAUCAUCAGUUGACACAUCUCUUAAUGGCAAUUGUACCUUCAAGUAUGCCAUUUAAUUUUUUGGAUACUAUGUUUAUGACCAGUUGUCUAUCUCUCCUCUAAUAUAAGCUUCACAAGGGCGGGACUUAUCUCUGGUACCUGGAAGAGCAUCCAGCACAUACGUGUUGAACAUGCAAUUAACAAAAUG